AAUUUGAAGGCAGCCAUUUUCAUUCACUCGCGUCGAGCAUGAAAAGGAGAAGCUGGCUCAUUUGUAGAUGGCAAAGUGAUGAUCAAGAGUUCUCUGAGGAGGUCUGCCAGGAAUCACAACAACGGUGAAUCCUCAGAGGAUCACCCAGGGACCUACAUCAUUGGCAGCCUUUGAUGAACUCUCUAAAGGGCACUUCGUUUUCAGUGAGCCUGUAAGGGCAGGUGCUUCAGCUGUUUACUGACCUUGAAGCCCGACCUCUUCCAUCUCAAGGCCUUGGCCACUAGGUGUCAGACUUGACCACAGGACUGUAGCGAGGUCUUAUGCUGAGGGUCCCAUCGCCUUAACCUCCAGCGCAGGGCACUCCUUUACAAAGCAUCACUUAAAAGCUAUGUACAAAGGAGAGGUCUUUGGUGCAGCAUCGAGUUUCCCACCUGGAGGACUGUUUUGGCGAGCAUCUGGAGGAAGGCCUGUUGAAUAGACUCAUUCUUGCAGGGCCCCUGUGCUCCAGCGAGCGCACUCGGGGCAUGGACGCUCAGCCACGGUCCACAGAGGAGGGAGAGCGAGCGAAUGAAAUGGAGGGGAGGCCCGGUGGUCCCUUGCCUCCUCAGACCACAACAGGAGGAGUUUGAUUCUGUUCUGCCUCAUAACAGGAUCUUAAAAACUGAACAAUGCCCCGCAGCAUGGACCCCGGCCUUGUCUCCAUGGGGGGUGGGGUGGUGGGGCGUAGCUGACUGCUGGCUGACUGCUACACCACCAUGUCAGCUUGGGUGUGUGUGGUUGUGGAGCAGCUGCAGAAGUCUAUUUUCAGCAGAUUUUGGAGGAUGCUUGUGGACAACUGUGGUCUCAAACCUCAACCACCAAGUGAUUGCCUCGUACCUUUUCAUAGCCUCAUGUCAUUUCCUUGCGUUAAAGAAAGAGCAAGAGAAAGAUAUUUCUGAAUAGUUUCAUGCUUUUUAUGUUAAUAGUGAAUUUAAGAGGCUUCACUUAUUGAUUCAGUCUUUAUAUGAUUUUCAAACAUCUGACUGCCAUGAUAAGAGCAGGGGGAGAUUUAGUUCAUUCAGUGUCAUUUGUCCUCAUGCAUCAACACUCCAAAAAUAUUUCAGUAAUUUUCUCUGUCGGUCAGUCACAAGUAAAAUCCUCUUGUAAUCUGUGAUGACAAAAUUUGACUGAUGUAACUCAUUCAGAUUUGCUUUGAAGAUGUUGACACUUCCUUCCCUAUUGAUUGUGUGGCUGUGAAUCUAAGACUGCUUGUCUCUUGCCCUUGUUGUUUGCUGGUUCAGUUUUUAGAUCAAUGUGUUUGUGUCUGUGCGUGGAGAAGCACUGGCUCAGGCCAGAGCUGGUCUCUAGCAGGUAAUGGGAUUGUAAGUGUCUGGCAGAGAUGAGUGGUAAUGAAAUGAGGGGCCAGGACUGUCAGAGCGAGAGAUUUUAACUGACAGCCGCUCGCAUCAGAGGAUACACAUCGUCUCCUGUGUCAUUUGUGUAUGUUUUUUCAUACCUGUGGGAAUGCAUGUGUAUGAUUACGUGUCUUGGCGCACAUGCAGACACAGUGCUUUCACAGACUCGCUGCUCCUGCUGUCAGCCAGACAGGAUCACAUGAGUUACUGUUUGCUAACUGUCACUAGCUCUGUGGGUUUGCAGCUCUGCCACUGUGGUAGACAGAAACCUCAGGAUGACAACAUAACUGCAGCAUGUUACAGCAGGGAAGGCGUGACCAGCUCCUGCAUUUUCUACUCUGCUGAUAGUUCUUAUCUCAGAGGGCAGAGAAAUAGGGUAAUGCUGUCCUGUGCAGCUGUCAAAACACCCAUUCUCUGUCUGUUUUCUUGAUGCAUGUUCCUGGGAGAUAGAGCUCAGCUAAGCUGUAAGAAAGAGGUUAUGGAUUGUCAUAGUACAAAUUGUAGUCCUGUAGGAGGUGGUGACCAUUUGGGCUAUCUAAACUAAACCAAAAAAGCAUUUUAUCUUCUUGUUGUUAUAUCAUAUUCCUGCCAAAUCCUUGCAAAUACUCCCUGGCCAUUCUGUGAAUCGUCCUCCUUCUGUUCAUGCUUUGAAAUCAUCAUAUCAGUGCAUAAGCCCUAUAUGUAUCCCAUUGUGAUUUGAGUUGGAGAGCAGAAAUGGCAGAUUAGUCUUAAAUCCGCCCAAGUAGAUUAUCCACUCAUCUCUAAAGCUCAUGCAUUGAGGGUUCCUCAUAAUUGCCGCUUGCGGUUGAGGGGGCAGGAGUGCCCAGCUUACCCACGGUCGGGAGAGCAGGACCGAUCUGCUUCCACAGUGCCAUCCGUGUCUACUUAUUAAAAGUGCGGUUGACCCCGGUUUUUCCCCCGUGUGCUUCUUCCUAUUGUGUUCUGUGUGAUUGAUGUUGACUGGGGUCACCUAAGCCUUUGCGGGGGAUCAUGGCACAGUGCGCAGGGGGCUAAAUGUUUACAUGCAUUCAUUUGACUUUACCCAGGGGUCUGCUGGCCCAACUCAGGGUCAUCCCAUGGAUGGGCAGACUAGGCCAUAUGUCAUGCUUUUCUCCACCACUGGACUGAAGGUCAAACCCACCAGGUUAUGGAGGCUAGUUAGGAAGAAUAAAUACUCUUUGUGGGCGGAUCCCUACCUUGUGUUUUGGCUGUGAGCUUUCAGCUGUGACACCAGACAUGGCUCUUAACAUGAGUGGGUUGGGGAACAUGUAUGACACUAAUGUUGCUUCACUGUUGACAUAAACCUUCUUAACAUGACAGAAAAAUAGGCCAGUAUUGUGUUCAGUGUUUCAGUCAUGCACUUAUCAGGAGCCAAAUGUGACAGUAAAGAGUGGAGAUGAAUAAUUGGUAAAUAGUUGAAAAAGAGAAUACAAAGAGCUCCAGGGAGUAAAAGUUAGACUACGCAACAACAGGACUGACACAAACAGAUCUUUUUUCAGCAGUGAGAGCAGAGGUGAGGAGUCAGAUGGAAAUUCUGCUGAAGUCACUGUAACUAAAUAUGUAAUAUUAUAAUUAGAUAAUGAUAUAUAAAAUUAUAUAAAUUAAAUAAUUGAACGAAGCACCUCUUUUAUUUUUUCUUUUCUUAUACUAACCAAUGGAUUGAUUCAGGCACAUUAAGCAACUUCAAAACAAACAUUCCCAUAUGUACAGCAUACCCACCAUCAUCUUCACAGCACAGGGUAUUGUUCAUGGAGCAUCUCCUGUUCAAGUCUGUCGUCUGUCCUCACUUCCUGUCACCUCUCCACAUAAAGGCAAAUAUGCCCCCCCCCCAAAAUAACUGUAUGUAGCUGUUUAGCAUCUGUGUUAAGUAGUGUGAAGAAUGUUUUGCUUAAUAUGUGGAAAUUGGAUUUCUAAUGUUCAUAAUGACCUGCAAGUGUCUCCCAUUAUUGGCAUAGUUGGUGGUUUUGUGCUGAUGCAGUGUUUAGUUUGGGGUCAGGGCAGCAGGGCUUCAGACAGUACAGCAGAGAGUUCCCGGGUAUUAAAGCGGCGGCUACAUCUCAACACUGUUAUAAUUCACCAAAUGAUUUAACCGCCAGCCAUUGAUCCACCUGGUAAACAUUCAUUGCUUUCAAACAGAUUUUCCACUCUGUUUAGAGAUCUUUCUUUCUGUCUGUCACUCUCUUAUGCUUUUGCAUUGGAAUGCAAGUGUGUGUGUUUGAAGUGAAUGUUAACAGGCAGGCGGGGGUGGGGUAACUGAUUGGAGUCUGAGCAAGCGAGUGUUGCUAGAAUGUGGUUAAGACUAAGAGAAGAAUAGGACAGAGAACAGACAGUGUGGUGGUAAGACAUAGAAAUGAAGGAUUGUCUGCUAUUUCUCUCACCCAUUAACCAGACAGGGCUAUUGUUGCGCUCAUUUCCCACUGGCACACUGUUGCUGUGACUGACAGCCCGACAAGCCGCCUCUGUAGGUCUGCCACAUGGUGGGCUGCUGAAUGGGGAAGGCAAAACGUCACUGCUUUGUGAAAACAGCUUACCUCAACUCUUCAUGUUGUGAAAAGCUUUCACCUGUGUUUCACUUAACACUUUAGUAAUUGCUUUUGCCUCUCAGCCCUGAGGCUUAAAAUAAAAUGUGAGUGCUGUUUUUUGAAGCCAUUCAGAUAAUUACAAAUCCAAUUGAUCUUAUUUUUUAUUGAUUUCUAACUUGGUGAAUGUCAGAUUUCAUGUAGUGGUCUUGGUGACUUAUGUAGUACCUGUGUACUUCUUUUUUGUGCAUAGUUAGGCUGCUCUGUCUCUAGUAAUGGCUGUGUAUUUAUACACUCGCAUGCACGUCUUAGUAUGUGUGCUACCAUAAAUGAAAGGCUGGUGGGAACAGCAGUGUCUAGUGAGUAGAACUUCUGGCACCCCACGAAGAGUCCCUCUUGAGAAUUGUAGCUCCAGCACCACCUUGAGAGUCUUCGUACACACCCACUGGCCCGGCACAGCCAGGGUGGCGGCGGGGGAACGCUCGGCGAGAGACGAGGCGUGUUGAACGGCUCUCACAGGCGGAGGCUGUCUCAUGGAAUUCCAGAGCUGGAGCAGGAGGCAGAGAGGAGGCUGCUGGGGAAACAAUGGUCAGGGACAUCUGUCAUGCGUGGCUGCACUCCCCUUCGCUUACAAUAGGUCCAUGGGACCAGCCAGUGGCUUUCUUUUCUCUCCCCUCCUUUCCGGGGACACUUCUGGCACUUACAAUGGGCCUUUUGUCCCCUCCCCGCUUUUUGCCAACAUUUAACCCUUCGAGCCUGCUCCUUUUUCUGUCUCUGCCAGAAAACAAAACAUAGUUGAAACCACGACUAUUCAUUCACCUCCCUCUGCUUCUGUUUUUCAUUAUGACUUUUGGCUCCGUCUCUGGCUGUGCACUACACUCUUUGCAUGAAUGUGUCGAGACCCUCUUUAUUUGCUGCAUGUGUUUGUGAGAGCAAAUGAGACACAGACAGAGGAUGAAAAUUAUUCCUGCAUCCCUCAUCCUGGUCUGUACACAGGAAUAAAAUAAAAGCCUCACAGUCCAUCGCCUUCCCAGUACCUCCACAGAUCUGAUUUCACCACACGAGUCCAUUGGCUUAAGUACAACGUGACAGUAGCCUCUGGCACCUGAGUCACUGUACUGGCUCAAUAUGCUCCUUAACCUCAAUGGUGUCCUCUUCCAACCAGACCCAUUGUGUUUCAGCCAGGAAGCCAUGUUCCCAGGAAGCUUGGCCACUAAGAGGUUGUCAUCACACACUCACUGCCCGUUGAUGCGACACAAAUCAUUUCCCUUGUGUGAUACCUGGCAGUGUGUUGAGCAGUCUGUGCACAUGAAUGACAGCAGUUUAGGUACUGUGAGUCCUGCUCAGUACCAUUGAUUAUCAAACCCAUGACAACAUUAGGGCUUCAGCUCUGCACUGGCUGGGAUGUAAUUAUACUUGGAUCCUUGGAGCUGUCUCUUUCUUAGUGUUUUCAACAUCAGCCUGAUGUAAAUUGCAAAUUGAUUUUUUCCCCAGCCUCUCAUUCUUAAGGACUUAAGGGGUUCAAGCUGGUCUACAAUUGAUUGGUCAGAUUGCAAUUUAUUAUUGCUGUCAGCAACAAGACUUUUCAAGGGGAAACUUGGCAGUCCACUGGGUAAACUGAACUCAUCACCUCUGUUGUGCCAACUUGGCAAAGCAAAAAAACAGCUGUGUAUGAAGACUAAUAUCUCAGUUAUUGUAUACACAUUAUCCCCUUUAGCAUAGUGUGGGUUGACUAAAUGUGUGUGUUGCCCUGCUGUGGAUAUGACAAGCCUUGAAAAGUUACAAGGUUAGGUGUGCAUGACUUGGGAGUAGAGAUUCCACAUCCAUCACAGAUCUAAUUUACAGCCCCCAGUGCCUGUGAUUCCACUCCCAUGUUUCACCCGUGCCUGCACAGUAAUGGACUGACUGGCAAGCUGGACUGCUGUGUCCCGUCCUGGCAGCUAAUUGCUGCCAGCUGCUGGAGGUCGGGAAACAAAGGGCCGUUUGAAAAGGUGAUCUGUUGAUUGGGGAAGCUGCCCACCCUCCUUCAAUGGGAUGUGCAUCACAUGAGAUGUGGCAUCUGUGUACAGCACUGCCUCCCUCUCACACAUAUCCCCGGGGCCCAGUGCACUGUAACAACACCAGCCCAUCUGUGUUUUGUAAGUGGAUAGCCAAAUGAACUCAAAGAGUGAAGAACAGGACAUGAAUAAGGUGAGGGUUGUGCAGAUCAUUACAUGAGAUUGGAGGGAGAGGCUGGGAGGUGUGUUUUAUUAGUGUCAUGAUUCCUGCCUUGACAUUUUUGUAGUUAUUUUAUCACAUACAUAGAUUAUAUUAGUAUUCACAACAAAUGAAGAAAGCAGCUACAUACAUUUGGGGUCAUCUUAUCUGGGUUUUCAAUCUCUGCUGGUGUACAUACCUUUUUAACUAGUUCUAAAAGGAGGUGGAGAGGUUUUAGGAAGCAAAUAUUUCAUGCGAGUCAGAAGUUGUGUUGAUAUGGAAGCACGUUUCGUUGGAGAUAACAUUCUUGUCUUUUCUCUGUCAGCAUAAAUAUUUAAGCAAACCUGUCAGUGGUGCUCCCUCCUGCCUGGUGCCCUCGCGGAGGAGGCUGAAAACAAGAGAAAGAAAGAGGGGGAAAAGAGGCAGAGAGAGAAAGAAAGAUAAAGGCCCCUGAAUGAUGGCUGUCUGUCAGCAUGGCUGUAGUCUGUGGCUAUAACCAGGACCUCUCACAUACAGACAGGUCCUGUGUGUGUGCCUAACACCUCUCAGAGCUGUCUGUCUGAUUGAACGACCCUCCAGGCGUCCUGUUAUGACAGCUCUCUCUCUGCCUUGAGAGACCUCAUCUGGGGCGUGUUCUGACAGGGCGGCUGCUUGGAAUAGCUCUGAUGAGAGGCAAGCACAGACCUCUAUCAGUUUGCUGCUGCUCCCUGUCACUCUUGCUUUCUUUCUUUGUUUCUGUGUGUGCAGGCGUGUCUGCUGUUGGUUGGUGUAAGUGAGUGUAUUGCUGUAUUAUGGCAAUUAAAAAAAAACAUGUACAGUAACAAUGUUUGCAUGCACACAAAUAUAUAUAGAUGUGAUGAUAUGAUAUACAAAUCAUGGUAGAUGAACUGCAGUUAAGCUGUGUGGUUUUCUUUACUAGAGUGAAAGAUUUGUCCAACCAUAACCAUAAAACAUUUACUAUAACAUGUAGGAUUAUGUCCUCUUAUAUUUCCUUGCAAUUCUGCUCUAUCAGCCUGAAAUUGGAGUGGAUAUAUUCGUGUGACAUCUGACAAGUCACAACAUGUGGUCAGUUUACUGAGUACAGUUCUGUGUGUUUACAACUACGUUCAGCCUUCAGGCAUUUUGGACCUCACUCUCUGUACAGGAAAUCACAGCUUUGAAAACCAGUAACUGUAACAAUCACUGGCUUAUGAUUAGUUGAUUGGAAUAUUCAAAGUAUGAAUAAGAUUAAGAUCAGAUUAUUGUGUAGACUUAAGAAUUUUUUGUACAGCAAAUUAGAAUUAUUGUUUUAUACAAAAAAACAUCUGCUUUUGUUAGAUUUGAAUAUCAGCUAUUUCAUAAUACACAUUUGUAUGGUGCUGCCACAACAAUAUAACUAUUCAGCAAAUAAAAUAAUACAGAAAAUUAAAUGAACUACACAUUAAGUCAUACCUCUGCAGCACUAGUUCUGACUGACAUUGUGAGAGUGAGAUAAGAAGAUCAGAGCAGUAAAAAUGUCCUUGACAGAGCUCUGGCCUGGCUGUAGUUAACAGAUCAACCAGCACCAUCUGUGACAACCCUAGAAGCAAUUAUCCCAUAUCACAUCCUUGCUGACCAUCUAUAUUAAAACCUGCUCACAACACCUGAGAUUAACCCACACUCGCACCUCUCCUGCCAUAAUCUCGCCUGUCUGCCAGCCCUCGUUGUUCUCCUGCGUGGCUGAGCCAAUAGCGUGGGGGCUGGUUCAGGGUCAGCCUGCACCUUGUUCUACGUGUUCAGCCAGUGCUGCUGCUGCCGCUGGCCUGGUCCACAAUCAGAGCUAUGGCUGUCAUAAAAUGUCCUAUAGCUGACUAUAUGACUAUAAGCCAUACUAUUAUAGGCAGAGAUAGAGAGAGGGAAGGGGGGCUUUGGCUGUAAAAGAAGCAUCAUGGACUUGUCCCUCAAAUGGCAUCUGAAGGUCAGUAGCUGGCUGCGGUGCUCCAGCUGUGCUCUGACACCAUCUCAGAAACUGCCACUUCAUUCAACCUUAUUCUAUAGUACUCUCCAACCACUGCACUUGGAGGGAGUUUUCUUUGCUAUGUAAAUGUGGUUUAUAUUUGUCAUAGCGGUUAUUUUCUUUGACCCUGAUGCCAGUUAUUCACCCUAUGAGGUGUGUAAAGCAUUCACUCAACAAACCAUCAGUAGAUUAGUCCCCAAUUAGAUGGCAAGACAGAACACCUGCAGAACUGCGGUAUUUGAAGGCAAAGGCAAAGAGCAGUACAUUUGAGAUUUUGCUUUAGAAGAGCUGUACCAAGCAGAGGCACUUGAAAUAAAUCUAUAUGUCAUUACUUUAUCUUUAUAACAUUUCAAAGGAAUAUUUUCAUGUGUUUCAGCACACUGCAAAGUCUUUCAGGUAGAGAGGUUUUCAUUCCUCUCCAAGCACAGCACAAUCCUCACUGUCUUACUGAUGGAAAGAUCAGUGUGUGCAUGGCCGCUUUCUGUGUGCUGUGCCUUCAGCCUAGAAAAUGAACAGACCUUCAAAGUGCAAAGGGCCGCAUCGACCGUGUGCACACUUGUGAUGAUGUCAAAAUGAAAGGUAGAGAAAUGGCACUGACAAAGAGCAGAGCUACCAUGGCUCAAUGUAAAUCAGAGGUGAAUGGGGAGAUGGAACUGAGUCCAACCUCAUGCACAUGGCUUGAUUGUGUGAAAUGUUUGUCGCUUGCUGCUGGACAAUGCUCAAGGCCGGCCCCCUCCUUGUCCUCUGUCCUUGUGCUCCUAGCUGCAGCCUGUGAAAGGUACAUUGAGUUGAGCUUACUGUAUAAUAGAGCAUUGUAUUGGAAAGGGAGACAUCAUACUCCUUCCACAAAAAGAACAUGGUAUGCCACAUUGUUUCGUUGCAACAAGCAGGCUCCCGUGUGAGUCUGGGAAACUUAGUCUGAAUGACUCAAAUAUGAGUGAUGCAACUUAAAAGCUCCCUGUCUCUCAGUGAAUGUUCUCCUUUUUGCGGGGGCCAUUAAGCUAUCAAAGAUGUGGCCUGUGAAGAAAUGAAACAUUGUCCAGAGCUGGAGAAUUCCUCUGAGCUGGGGGAGGAUAGGGAGAGAGGGUG